rnacentral:rRNA from 1 species
GCCUAGCCCUAAACUUCGAUAUUUAACGUACAAAAAUAUCCGCCAGAGAACUACGAGCAAAACGCUUAAAACUCUAAGGACUUGGCGGUACCUCAAACCCCCCUAGAGGAGCCUGUUCUACAAUCGAUAAUCCACGAUAUACCUCACCAUCCCUUGCCAAUCCCGCCUAUAUACCUCCGUCUCUAGCUUACCCUGUGAAGGGUAAAAAGUAGGCAGAAUAACUAAAAACAGCUAAUAAGUCAGGUCAAGGUGUAGCUAACUGAGAUGGAAGAUAUGGGCUACAUUUUCUAUGCUAGAAAUUAAUUUACGGAGGAAAACUAUGAAAUUAGUCCCACAAGUAGGAUUUAGCAGUAAACCGAGAUCAACAUGCCCGAUUUAAGCCGGUCCUGAGGUACGC